GAUGAACGCUAGCGGGAGGCCUAACACAUGCAAGCCGAGCGGUAUUUCUUCUUCGGGAGAGAGAGAGCGGCGUACGGGUGCGGAACACGUGUGCAACCUGCCUUUAUCUAGAGGAUAGCCUUUCGAAAGGAAGAUUAAUACUCUAUAAUAUAUUAAUUGGCAUCAAUUGAUAUUGAAAACUCCGGUGGAUAGAGAUGGGCACGCGCAAGAUUAGCUAGUUGGUGAGGUAACGGCUCACCAAGGCGAUGAUCUUUAGGGGGCCUGAGAGGGUGAUCCCCCACACUGGUACUGGGACACGGACCAGACUCCUACGGGAGGCAGCAGUGAGGAAUAUUGGUCAAUGGGUGCAAGCCUGAACCAGCCAUCCCGCGUGAAGGAUUAAGGUCCUAUGGAUUGUAAACUUCUUUUGUAUAGGGAUAAACCUACCCUCGUGAGGGUAGCUGAAGGUACUAUACGAAUAAGCACCGGCUAACUCCGUGCCAGCCGCCGCAGUAA
rnacentral:rRNA from 1 species